AUGUGCCGCAAGGUGCAUGGCAGACGGGUGAGUAACGCGUGGGGAACCUACCUCUUUGUGGGGAAUAACGUUCCGAAAGGAAUGGUAAUACCGCAUGAGACCGACGGCUGGGAUGCUGUCGGUGAAACCCGGGGACCGUAAGGCCUGGGGCAAGGAGAGGGUCCUGCGUCUGAUUAGCUAGUUGGCGGGGUAACGGCCCACCAAGGCAUCGAUCAGUAGCCGGCCUGAGAGGGUGAUCGGCCACACUGGAACUGAGACACGGUCCAGACUCCUACGGGAGGCAGCAGUGGGGAAUUUUGCGCAAUGGACGAAAGUCUGACGCAGCAACGCCGCGUGGGUGAUGAAGGUCUUCGGAUCGUAAAACCCUGUCGUCAGGGACGAAGGUUGCAUAUCUAAUAGGUGUGCAAUUUGACGGUACCUGGAGAGGAAGCCCCGGCUAACUCUGUGCC
rnacentral:rRNA from 1 species